rnacentral:misc_RNA from 1 species
CGUCAGUCAGUGGCCGCGCGUUGUCCACGUAACAUCGUGACGGUUUUUUUUACCUCGUAUCCUUCGCAAUCUUUCAAUAAAUUCUCCGUCAUUUACACUUUCCAAUGCACACCCUUUCCCUUCUCCCUUAAAAAACAAUUUCCACUUUGUUGCAUUACUUAAUCCUUCCGUUAUCUCUGAUAACUAACGAGAGAAGCAAGUGUUGUUUCGUACCGCGUGUACUGUUCGAGCAACUCUCGUUUGACAUACCAACGAUGUGACAGUGAACGGAACUCACGGAAGGUGUGGCGCGAAAAGUAUAGUGUACUCGGACAGAGACGAGCAGAUUCUCUCGAUCUGCCCCAUUCCCGUGAUGCUCAAGGUUAAGGAACGUUAUCUGUUCACGCUUGUCUUACCAUGAAGUUGAAUAAUAAAGAAGCAAGAACCUUUGAUCGAGCAGUGUUCAUUGCCAGCGCGAGCAGAAGAUAAAUAAUUGUUGCAAAAUGUUGAUAAAGGAAUAUCGGAUACCGUUGCCUCUCACUGUCGAGGAAUACAGGAUUGCUCAGCUUUAUAUGAUAGCGAAAAAAUCUCGAGAAGAGAGUCAAGGAGCAGGCAGCGGUGUCGAGAUAAUAGUAAACGAGCCUUACAGCAACGGCCCCGGUGGAAAUGGACAAUACACCCACAAGAUCUACCACGUCGGCAGCCAUCUUCCAGAAUGGUUCAAAAGUCUUCUACCAAGAUCCGCCUUGAUCGCCAAAGAAGAAGCAUGGAACGCUUAUCCCUAUACAAAGACCCGAUACACCUGUCCCUUCGUCGAAAAAUUCUCCAUCGAAAUAGAAACGUACUAUUUCCCUGACAAUGGGUACCAAGAAAAUGUCUUCAAGCUUAGUGGUAGCGAUUUGAGGAACAGAAUCGUUGAUGUAAUCGACAUCGUCAAGGAUCAGUGCGAUUAUGUGAAGGAGGAGGACCCUAAAACGUACGUGUCCCAGAAAACUGGUCGAGGACCUCUCACGGAGGCGUGGUUAGAGGAAUACUGGGCUGAUGUGAAAGGAAAGCAACAGCCAACACCAUCCGGCAAGUCGUUAAUGUGCGCGUACAAGUUAUGUCGCGUGGAAUUCCGUUACUGGGGCGUGCAGACGAAGCUAGAAAAGUUCAUACACGACAUAGCCUUGCGGAAAACCAUGGUGCGAGCACAUAGGCAAGCCUGGGCCUGGCAGGACGAGUGGAACGGUUUAACUAUGGAGGACAUUCGGGAAAUUGAAAGACAAACGCAACUGGCUUUGCAGAGAAGAAUGGCUAAUGCGGAAGGUGGAGAGGAAGCUGUGAACGAGAACCAAGAAAAGACUGCGUCCAACACGACGAUGACUCCUCAGGAGUCUGAUGUUGCGAUGACUUUAGCUGCCACGCUUGGGAGCAUCGAGAAGAACGAAGAUCUUCAAAGUCCACCUAGUGUCAGGAAGUCGUCGGACAUUCCUAUGUCCAACACGACAGUUAGCUCGGAAGGUGAACCCAGUCCUGAAGACUCGCCGACAGAAUUACCGGAGCUUAGAACCGCUUCUGCCGAGGAAAAGGGUGACACAAAGAAAGCGUGGCUGAAGAACAAAGCCGCGAUGAAUUCCCCGUGUUCGAACAAAAGUUUCGACAUGCAGAUAGCGAAUUGGCGCAUGGAAAGUAUCGUGAGAGAAUCUGAAUCGGGCAGCGAAGACGAGUUCUUCGAUUGUCAAGAGGACUUUGGAGAUAACACUUCAUUAGCUAAAUGGAGUUCUUUGGAUCUUCUAGCAGAAGAGGAGGACAAUACGUUCACUUCGUGUACCAGCACAAACAAGGAAGAUGACACGAUAUUCUCACCUUCGUAUCUGCAACGAAUGGCCAGUGAACGUAGCAGUAAAAGAUUGCAGAUCUCCACUUCAGCAAGUAUCGAUGCCUCUUGUCCAGCGUCGCCUCAACAUUCCCCUACUCAUCAACCCUGCAAGACAACUGUUCUUAUUAUUGUAAUGCACGCUGGUAGCGUUUUAGACGCGAACGUCGAUUUGACGGCGAAGAAGUCAGACAUCACAACUUUCAAAGGAGCCUUUGAAUCAGUGAUGCGACAACAUUAUCCCAGCAUGGUUGGUCACGUAGCCAUUAAGUUUGUUUCCUGCCCUUCCAUCUGUACAGAAGGUCUGGGUAUUUUAUCUAGUUUAAGUCCGUACAGUUUCGACGUAUCACCCUCUUCUAUGGACGCCCCUCAAGUGACACAUGACACUAUUCCUAUUGGCGCGAUACCACUGCUAGCUAGUUCCACUCCUGAAUACCAAGAUGCAGUCACGAAAGUUAUAGUAGGAGCCAAUCAAGUCUAUCACGAAUUCAUCAAAAGCGAAGAGGGUCGCGGUUUCACGGGGCAGAUUUGUUUUAUAGGAGACUCAGUAGGAGCGAUUUUAACCUAUGACGCUUUGUGUAGAUCUACACAUUCUAGACAUAACAGCGAGAACAAUAUUUUGGAUAAUCAAGGCGUUGAGAAUAGCGGGAACCCUGAAGAUGGCAAACACUUGACUGCACCUUCUCCUAGAAGGAAAUCUUCUAGUAUAAGUGAAAUGUCACACUGUAAACUGGAUUUCGAAGUAGGAGAAUUUUUUAUGUUCGGUAGUCCACUUGCUCUAGUCCUAGCGUAUAGAAAAAUAUCGUCGAGCAGCGAUAAAACUAGCAACAUUAAGAGACCGUUGGUGAAUCAGCUGUAUAAUUUAUUCCAUCCUACCGAUCCAGUAGCGGCUAGGUUGGAGCCGUUGAUAUCUGCUAAGUUUUCUCUUCUUCCGCCCGUGAACGUGGCUCGAUAUCAAAAGUAUCCAUUAGGGAAUGGUCAGCCUUAUCAUUUAUUGGAAACAAUUCAGUCAAACCCACAGUUGUUUUCGGACGGUUUAAACAUGCCAAUGUCCCAUUUAAGACGACUGUCCGAUAUAUCCAUUCAUAGUACAAUGUCUGGUAUGGUUGAAAUUGUUCCUUUACAGUUAGUGUCUAAUUUGCAGCAAAAGUGGUGGGGUACGAAGAGAUUAGAUUACGCUCUUUAUUGUCCAGAGGGUUUAGCGAAUUUCCCUACGAACGCUUUGCCACAUCUUUUUCACGCUAGUUACUGGGAGUCCUUUGACGUCAUUGCAUUUAUUUUGCGGCAAUUAGGCAGAUUCGAUUUGUCGUUGCUCUCUAACGAGGAGAAAGAGUUAACGUGUUUCCGUCCAGGUCAACCUAGAGAAAAGUGGAAUAAGAAACGUACUUCCGUUAAGCUUAAGAAUGUCAAUGCCAAUCAUAGAGCAAAUGAUGUAAUUGUUAGAGAAGGAGCACCGCAAGUGUUGGUUGCUAGAUUCAUGUACGGUCCAAUCGACGUUAUUGCUUUAAGCGGCGAGAAAGUAGACAUUCACAUUAUGAAGAAUGCACCUGCCGGAGAAUGGACGUAUUUAUCAACCGAAGUAACUGAUAAGAACGGUAGAAUAACGUAUAAAAUACCGGACGAUAAAGCCUUAGGUUAUGGACUAUAUCCAGUUAAAAUGAUCGUCAGAGGUGAUCAUACAUCUGUAGACUUCUUCUUGGCUGUGAUUCCACCAAAAACUGAGUGUGUGGUGUUUAGCAUAGAUGGUUCGUUUACUGCAAGUAUGUCUGUUAGCGGAAAGGAUCCAAAAGUGAGAGCUGGAGCUGUUGACGUUGUUAGACAUUGGCAAGAGUUGGGUUACUUAAUUAUUUAUAUCACCGCGAGGCCUGAUAUGCAACAACAGAAAGUUGUUUCAUGGUUGUCUCAACAUAACUUCCCCCAUGGUCUCGUAUCGUUUGCGGACGGUCUUUCGACAGAUCCGCUUGGUCAUAAAGCUGCGUACUUAAACAAACUUGUACAGGAUCACGGUGUGAUAAUUCACCACGCUUACGGCAGUAGCAAAGAUAUUAGCGUUUACACUGCGAUUAAUUUAAAACCGAAUCAAAUCUUCAUCAUUGGGAAAGUACCAAAGAAACAUCAUGCUUCGGCAACGAUUCUUCACGAUGGUUACGCUGCUCAUUUAACUACCCUACAAGCGCACGGUGGCUCGAGACCAGCCCAGGGCAAUGCACGUAUGGUGAUUCCAAGAGGUCAGUUUGGUUUGCCCGGGCAAAAUGCUUCUCUACGACGGAGAAGGUGAGCUUAUUUAUUUCACAUCGUCACGAUGUUCGAUGUGGUUUUACUGUGUUCGUUAUCGCUUACAUCUGGCCGUGAUAUGGGAAUUUUUAAGGUAAUAAUUCUCGAUCCCUCGCUAUCUUCGACGUUCAGAUGUUACGGUUGCUGCAGAGUGGUGGAAAGAGUGUGCGUACGCGAUAAAUGUUGUCCCCUAGAAAGAAGACACCCAGAACGGGCGUAAGCCUCGGAGAGUAAUAAUAUUCUAUUGUCUGUACAUAGAUUAUACUGUAUUUUUAUAGCUCGCCGUACUCUGUGAUCAGUAUAAAGUUUCAAGCGAAAAUAGUUGUUUCAGAGGUGAUCGAUCAAGUGCGAUCUUCCAAAUUGAACCGCACCCAUCAGUGUUUAUUAAAAAAAACCAUGUAUGUCCAGAGAUUUCUCUGUUAAACGAUCGUAACCACGAGAACAAGGUAUAUACAAUGAAUAGUCUAAGUAACCAUGGCAUGGUGUAAUUUUUAAGACCGCCGGCAAACCCCGUCAGUGAAACACUAUUAUUUAUGGCACAGUUUCUUUUCACUUCAACAGAUGCUAGGUUCACAAAACGAUAUUACAUUUUAACAGUUCUCUUCUAUUCAAUGAAGCAAUAAAUGUUCUCGUCCCUUCAAUCUUCGAAUGAUUAUUAAUUUAUCCGAAUAAAUACUACUUCUUUCGCUAUCGAGUAGGAGGUUUGAACGGUAUCUAAAGCUUAUCAGUUUCUUAAUUACAGGUACCUGUUUUGAAGAAACGUUACGCAGCAUAGUUGAUAUCUCGUGGUCUCGACAAGAGCCGCAAUCAUUCUACGCUCAAAUUCAAUGUUUUGUCUAUCAGCCGUACACAUGUCCAGAAUUUGUGGUUAAAUCAACUAUAAGUGUCUAGAUAUACAGAGACUAAAGUUUUUUCGUUACCUCCUGAAAACGGUCUGAUCUCACUUUAGCGACCAAGCUCUUUUAGGCUGGCGAAACGUGCAAUAUCACAGCCCAUCCCGAGCAAGGUGAUAUUUCCAUUGGAACGAUCAACGAGUGUCGGG